rnacentral:rRNA from 1 species
AACGAACGCUGGCGGCAGGCCUAACACAUGCAAGUCGAACGCUGUAGCAAUACAGAGUGGCAGACGGGUGAGUAACGCGUGGGAACAUGCCCUUCGGUUCGGAAUAACUCAGGGAAACUUGAGCUAAUACCGGAUACGCCCUUAGGGGGAAAGAUUUAUUGCCGAAGGAUUGGCCCGCGUCCGAUUAGCUAGUUGGUGAGGUAAUGGCUCACCAAGGCGACGAUCGGUAGCUGGUCUGAGAGGAUGAUCAGCCACACUGGGACUGAGACACGGCCCAGACUCCUACGGGAGGCAGCAGUGGGGAGUAUUGGACAAUGGGCGAAAGCCUGAUCCAGCCAUGCCGCGUGAGUGAUGAAGGCCCUAGGGUUGUAAAGCUCUUUCGCCAGGGACGAUAAUGACGGUACCUGGAUAAGAAGCCCCGGCUAACUUCGUGCCAGCCGCCGCCGUAA